rnacentral:snRNA from 1 species
ACGCUUUCAACUUCGGACAACG